rfam:Formosa sp. Hel3_A1_48, complete genome.
UAAGGUGGUUAUUGCAAUGGGGCUCACCUCUUACCAUCCCGAACAGAGCAGUUAAGCCCAUUAGCGCCGAUGGUACUACACUUGUGGAAGAGUAGGUCACCGCCUUUU